AUUGAACGCUGGCGGCAUGCCUUACACAUGCAAGUCGAACGGUAACGCGGGGCAACCUGGCGACGAGUGGCGAACGGGUGAGUAAUGCAUCGGAACGUGCCCAGUUGUGGGGGAUAACUGCUCGAAAGAGCAGCCAAUACCGCAUACGACCUGAGGGUGAAAGCGGGGGAUCGCAAGACCUCGCGCAAUUGGAUCGGCCGAUGUCGGAUUAGCUAGUUGGUGGGGUAAAGGCCCACCAAGGCGACGAUCCGUAGCUGGUCUGAGAGGACGACCAGCCACACUGGGACUGAGACACGGCCCAGACUCCUACGGGAGGCAGCAGUGGGGAAUUUUGGACAAUGGACGCAAGUCUGAUCCAGCCAUGCCGCGUGCGGGAAGAAGGCCUUCGGGUUGUAAACCGCUUUUGUCAGGGAAGAAAUCUUCUGGGUUAAUACCUCGGGAGGAUGACGGUACCUGAAGAAUAAGCACCGGCUAACUACGUGCCAGCCGCCGCAGUAA
rnacentral:rRNA from 1 species